CGGAACCUAACUCUAGCCAACGAUCGCUUCUGUGGGAUCAUCUUAUGCUAGAUCAUCACUUCUUAAUGGCGAAUCCCACGCCAUUUUGUCUCUUGGGUUUGCCAAUCUCUGACACAGUAGACUAACGAACCAACUGUGCAACCUUCCCAAAAUAUACAAAGCGGUCGUUCCUUGCACACGUUGAAAAGAUCACUUUUUAAUGGAUAUGGACGGAAGUGUC
rnacentral:lncRNA from 1 species